rnacentral:rRNA from 1 species
GGGGGAAUAUUGCACAAUGGGGGGAAACCCUGAUGCAGCGACGCCGCGUGGAGGAAGAAGGUCUUCGGAUUGUAAACUCCUGUUGUUGAGGAAGAUAAUGACGGUACUCAACAAGGAAGUGACGGCUAACUACGUGCCAGCAGCCGCGGUAAAACGUAGGUCACAAGCGUUGUCCGGAAUUACUGGGUGUAAAGGGAGCGCAGGCGGGAAGACAAGUUGGAAGUGAAAUCCAUGGGCUCAACCCAUGAACUGCUUUCAAAACUGUUUUUCUUGAGUAGUGCAGAGGUAGGCGGAAUUCCCGGUGUAGCGGUGGAAUGCGUAGAUAUCGGGAGGAACACCAGAGGCGAAGGCAGUCUCCUGGGCAAAUACUGACGCUCAU